rnacentral:lncRNA from 1 species
AAAAGAAGUGUUGCUCUUGAUGCAAUCUUUUCCUCCUCCUUCUUCUCCUCCUCCUCCUCCUCCUCCUUGCGAGCCCUCUGCCUCUCCCUGCCAGCCCCGACAGAUCUCCGCACCGCGGGGGGAGAAGGGUAGGUAUAAAAGCCCCCCCCCCUUCCCCCCCCAGGGGUUGGCCCCCAUUGAUCAGCCGUACUCAGCCUUUGACCGACGGGCUGCGAGGCACGGGGUCAUCCCGCAGCCCUCCCACCGCACCGCACCGCACCGCAUCCCACCCCCCGUCCCACCCCCUGCGCUCCGGUUGGGCAAUGCGUGCUGAAGGGGGCACCCACACGAAGGGUUGGGAGAAAGGAUUUAAAAGCCACGAAGCCAACCCCCCCUCCCCAUCCACCCCAACGCCAUCAGUCUGUCCCACUGCCCCUCAUCCACGCUGUUCCCAAAUUUAUGUCCCACAUAGGGAUUAAAAAUACACUUAUUGAGGGAGGUGGGCUCAAAAAGGGGGUUCCUGAGAGGGGAUCCUGGGGGAAUCCUGGGGAAGGUAUUUCCACCUCUGCUGCUUUAUUUCAUUUCAUUUCAUUUGGGGGGGGCUGUUGGCUCACUUCUCUCCAAUCUGCUCAACCAAAGGGGUGGGACAGCCUCCAUCCCUGGUGGGAGCUGAGCGUCUGUGCGUGUUUAAGUAUAGGCAACUGAGCAAAUGUGUACCCGAGGCUCUAUAGUCUGUCUGAGAAGAAGGGGGGGAAGAAAAAUAACUCUGCUGCAAAGUUUCAUGAGUCCCAUAGCAUCUCUUUUGCUGUUUUUUUUAAAUUUAUUAUUAUUUUUUGGGUGGGAAAGAGGGAAGGAGCAAGAGAACGCCUCAUAUAUUGCAUUGCUCCCCACCUCCUGCUGCUACUGGGUGGUGAUGCAAAUAAAGCAGGAUCUGAUCUGGUUUAAGAGACAUCCAGACUUUGGUCACCCCUUUGUAUCCAGUCCCUCGUGUGCUGGGACUGGGCCAGGGAUGCCUUUAUGCUGGUAAUUUCUCCAUCCAAUCAUUUAAUGAUUAAGGGCAGAUACUGCUGAACUGCUGAAGCUGUGCAAGAAGGAAACUUUUCCCUCCCUCCAACCCCAGCUCAAAGUUGGCCCAGCAGAGCCCCACUCUUAUGGCCACCAAGAAUAUGGCAGAUGUUAUUCUGGAUCCCUGUUAUCUUCAAACAAUGUAAACCCAACACCACAGGAUUCCCCAAAUCCAAUUGCAGCAGUCUGCGUUUCCUUCGUUGCUCCUUUCUGGGAAGAUAGGAGUUGCAAGGGCUGCAGGUCUUUGGAGUCAUGAGCAUCAAAUGCAGCUCUAAAGAGCAGUUUCUUCAAGUAGAGGAUGUAACCCAGCUCCCAUGGCACUCAGUGCAAGAUAGGAGUGAGGCCAGAUGAGGUGGGCAGAGCAGGCUUGUGGGAGCUGAGCAGUUGGACUGUAUGACUGAGGGCCCUCUAAAGACACAGUGAAUCACACAAUCAUGGAAUCAUUAAGGUUUGGAAAAGACCUCUGAGAUCACCAACCCCAACCCACCCCACCAUGCCCAUUGCCCACAUCCCUCAGUGCCACAUCUCCAUGGUUCAGGAAAACCUCCAGGGCUGGUGACCCCACCACCUCCCUGGGCAGCUGUGCCACUGCAUUGCCACUCUUUUGGAGAAGAAAUGUUUCCUAACAUCCAAUCUGAACCUCCCCUGAAUCAACUUAAGGCCUAAACCAUGGCUGGGGCUCUCAGUCAGGCACCAGAGGAAAGCAUGUGAGAAUUUCCCAAUUUGCAUCAUUCCAGCACUUCUCUUCCCAAGCAAACUGCCCAGUUCUUUCCCCACAUGAAAAGGGUCUCUCUCUCUGCCUGACUCAUUGGGUGCUGAGGAUCAAGCCCUCCGCUUUUAGGUCCUACCGCCAUUGGAAAUCCGGAUUUAUGCGAGGUCAAACACGAAACAGCUGAGUUUGCUCAUUUUUGGGGGGCAGUGCCCCAGGAAAAUGCUUUUAUUAUCUCUAUUCAUCCCCAGACAUUGUGUAUUCUCUCAGCCAGGGUUACAAGGCAACUCUUCCCCCUCUCUGCAGACCUUUGAGAGGGGAAUGAGCUCUUCUGCACAUCCAGAUGUCUGCUGUUGUUUGUCCGGUCUCUUCCCACUGGGGGGCACAGGACUCCAUUCUCCAGCAGAUCUGUUCCAGGCAUCUCUUUAUGUCAAGGCAAAGGCUGAUGCUUUGGACCCAGAAAGACACAAGUGGGAUGGAGAUCAGAGCCCUGGGCUUUUCCCCGCAGACCAGCAACUGGUGCCAUUUCUGGCUGAUUCUCUACUUUUCUCUUCCUAGUGAGGGUCUUUUGUUAUUUAUCAGCUCCUUUCAAAGCAACAGCCUGAGAGAUUUCACAAUACUUUUCACAUAUGGUUACUCAGCCUGGGGCUCUCCACAGCUUAGCUGUUUCAGUGAUAUUUGCACAGCACUGAGCAACAGCAUUCCUGACCUGCAGGAGAAGUGAGUGCCUCAAACCUCCUUUUCUCCAUAUACACAAGAUCUUUUUUUGCUCUUAAAAAACCCCAGACCCCUCUCCCCAUCCCUGCCAGUUGCACGGCAGACUGGAUGUCCCUGGCAGCACACUUGGGCUUGCAUCCAUUUUUCUUCUUUGUGUGUGUGUGCGUUGUCAUCCAAUGCAUGGCCAGAACCAAAGGAAAACUCAUGUGUGUGUUGUCAUCCAAUGCAUGGCCAGAACCAAAGGCAAACUCCAUUUGGGAGGUGAGCAAGGAAAACCCCUCCAAAACAGCCAGGAGCUGAAAAGAUUUGGCAAGCUUUGCAGGAGAAAACUGCCAGCAGGGAAAGACGAGGUGGAGGCAUUACUCUGACAGAAGAAGCUCUGAUUAGCAGAUUAUCACUUAAGUGAUGUUGAUCCCAGCCACGCUGCCUUCCAAAUGAGCCCUUUCACAGCUGCCAGCUGCACCACGGAGUCGUGAAUGUAAAUGAGUGGGCCAGAUCCUCUGCUGGCAUCCAUCGACGUGGCUUUGAUGGACCAUCCUGGAUCUACAACAGCCGGAGGAGUGUGGCUGUCGUGGGAGCCUGACUUGCUAUGCAGAUUUCUUUGAGAGCCUGUGGGAAAGGGCCUGAAGCUGGAUGUACUGCAGGAUAGGGCAGCAUCAACUGCACAGCUGGAGGGACCCUUGAGACUUUGACUUUUGCUGCCAAACAAAGCCAUCUUUUUGCUGAGCUUGUAAACUGUUCCCUGGUACCGUACGCCAGCAUAUAGCAUCCUGCCCUCAUAAAGCUCUACUUAUCUCCAUCCAACUUCUUGGGCUGAGCGUGUGGGAAGCAUGUGAGGGACACUCAUGAGCAGCCUUGCAUUCUCCGAGCUGUGCUUUCCCCUGGGGAAGGCAUACUUGACCUCUGGCCACGUCCAUCCAAUCUGACAGACUGGUCUUCGGAGAAUGGUGACCAAGAAUAAGCUCCAUGUCCCACAUGCCACCUGUUCAUCUGCACCGCUCCCUCUCCAGCAGCUCAUGGGCCAUGCCCAGCCUAUGUGUGACACCUCUCUGGCUGCUCAGAUGGAAAGUAAGAGCUUGGAGAGUGAGGACAGCAUGGAGUUAUGGAAGACAUGGCUACAAGAGCAUUCUUUCUCCAUCUCCAUGUGCUUCUGAAGGACCAGUCUGAUUCUGGCUCCUGCCAAGUUAGGAUAUGCUAUGAUUCUGUGAACACUUUUUGCAGCAAGUCAGCCAUAAGAAACAACAUACUCUCAGACAAUCAAGCCUCCAAAUUAAGGUGGGGAGACUUGUUGUGAAGGAGAUGGUUUUUUUUUUCCUACUGUAGAAGGGAUGUUCAAUGCUAUAGUGACAAGGAACAAUUCUUCAGCCUUAGACAGCAGAAAGAAGAAACAUAAAGAGACUGUACAGUUCUUGGGACACCGAGACAACUAUCUACGUGCUUUGUGGAAGCAGAGACAAGUAUGAGAUUUGGCUUUCUGGGCUAUGAGGGCACACAGCUGGCUCACAUCCAGCUCCCAUCCACCAUUUAGAUAAGAUACUAUUGCUUUUAAUAAAGACAAGUCAAAGAUCUUCUCCUAAGUGCUCUUAAAGAACUCCAGCAUUGUGUCUACAAUAAUCCAUCCGCCUUAAAGGAUCCAGCAGUACAUCACCACCAGUGGAUAUAAGAAGUAAUUAGUCAUCAUUUAGGGAAGUAAGAUUUAACAGUUAUUUUGUUGGCAGAAGUGCCGUGAUAAAAAUGGUACUCUGAAAGUUAUUUGGUAUUUCUCAUUGUUGCCAGAGUUCUGAACAUUUUGAUAGGAUGAACAUAGACUUCGGUAGGAAAGUUGUGGAUUUUUUCCCCUCCAUUUAGUAGAAAUAUAAAUGUUACAAAAUAAAUAAUGAUAGAAUAUAUGUGUAUAUAUUUUCAAUGCAUAUUUUAAAAUGCAUAUGAAAUGCAUUUUUUAAAAUAUUUUGUUCAAAUAUUUUUACUAAUGUUGUAUACCUUGCAUCUGUGAAGAGGGUUAUCCCUUAAACAUCCUUUCUUCAGACAGUACUGGGAUUCAUCCUCAGGCCCCGUUAUCUUGCUCUACGUUUCCUAGAGUCCAUCUAUAUAAUAAAUCAGAAUACUGCAUGGUUACACAUCGUAAUUAUUUUUUAAAAUUAUUUUUUAUUUUUUUGCUGAUUGGGGAAAUGGUGAAAACUGGUUUUUGCAUAUUUCAACAAUGUUACUCAGCCAAGUAAAAGAACAAGGGAGCAGAAUGGAAGAGAAAUGAAGAAAUGGAAGGAAGGAAGGAAGGAAGGAAGGAAGGAAGGAAGGAAGGAAGGAAGGAAGGAAGGAGGGAAGGAGGGAAGGAGGGAAGGAAGGAA